rnacentral:rRNA from 1 species
AACGCGAAGAACCUUACCAGGCCUUGACAUGCAGAGAACUUUCCAGAGAUGGAUUGGUGCCUUCGGGAACUCUGACACAGGUGCUGCAUGGCUGUCGUCAGCUCGUGUCGUGAGAUGUUGGGUUAAGUCCCGUAACGAGCGCAACCCUUGUCCUUAGUUACCAGCACGUUAAGGUGGGCACUCUAAGGAGACUCCCGGUGGCAAACCGGAGGAAGGUGGCGAUGAAGUCAAGUCGCGUUUGGCCCCG